AGGCAGACGUGCUGAAAGACUGAUGACUGCUGCUCCUGGGAGAACUGGUUGACAAAGAGGAGGAGCAUGGUGCAGAAGAGGGGAAAAGCAAUGAGCUGCACUGCGGGACAUGAUGUUCUUGAGGCAUCACACCACAACUGGGUCCCAGUGGAGAACUCCCCCCUGUGACAUCUGGCUCGCUUUUCUUGGAGGGGGAGGCAUCUAACCAGAGCCGCCAACAACCUGUCAACAGGGAGAGAGGGACAAAAAAAAUCAACAUGCUUGCAAUGUUAUAUGCUUGCAAUGUCUCUCUCUCCAUCUGUCUUUUUGAAUAUGUGCUUGGAAAUCACAGACACAAAGGCAGGAGCGACCUGUCUGCGGUCUGUAAUUAAGUGGAGGCGGCAUCACAAUCUGUACUUGAUUCACAUAGAUCUUUUCAGUGUGCCAUUGUUUUAAGAUAGGGAAGACCGGGUAUGGUUGUAACACUUUUUGCUUGAGCAACUAUAACUCACUAAAUUUUUCUAAGAGUUCUCAAACUUUUAUACAAAGUACUCACAUUUGUUCACUUCAAAUGGCACCAAUUAAAUUCUGCACAAGAAUAUCAAAGACCUUGUGAGUUGACAACCUACCCCAGUACCGGGGUAAGUUGUGAUGUGGUGUCCAAUAUAUGUGCAUUUGACUCAUAACAGUUUAAAAUAGCACUGUAGCAG